rnacentral:rRNA from 1 species
GACGAACGCUGGCGGCGUGCCUAAUACAUGCAAGUCGAACGCUGAAGAGAGGAGCUUGCUCUUCUUGGAUGAGUUGCGAACGGGUGAGUAACGCGUAGGUAACCUGCCUUGUAGCGGGGGAUAACUAUUGGAAACGAUAGCUAAUACCGCAUAACAAUGGAUGACCCAUGUCAUUUAUUUGAAAGGGGCAAAUGCUCCACUACAAGAUGGACCUGCGUUGUAUUAGCUAGUAGGUGAGGUAACGGCUCACCUAGGCGACGAUACAUAGCCGACCUGAGAGGGUGAUCGGCCACACUGGGACUGAGACACGGCCCAGACUCCUACGGGAGGCAGCAGUAGGGAAUCUUCGGCAAUGGGGGCAACCCUGACCGAGCAACGCCGCGUGGGUGAAGAAGGUUUUCGGAUCGUAAAGCUCUGUUGUAAGUCAAGAACGAGUGUGAGAGUGGAAAGUUCACACUGUGACGGUAGCUUACCAGAAAGGGACGGCUAACUACGUG